AGGUCACAAGCGUUGUCCGGAUUUAUUGGGCGUAAAGGGAGCGCAGGCGGUACGGAAAGUCAGCGGUAAAAUUACGGAGCUCAACUCCGCCGAGCCGUUGAAACUUCCGCACUAGAGUGAGCGAGAAGUAAGCGGAAUGCGUGGUGUAGCGGUGAAAUGCAUAGAUAUCACGCAGAACGCCGAUUGCGAAGGCAGCUUACCGGCGCUCAACUGACGCUCAGGCACGAAAGUGCGGGGAGCG
rnacentral:rRNA from 1 species